UUGAGCAAAUAACUGACAAUGCAGUUUCUGUGAUUGUCGACUUUAAAACAUAGAUAAAAGUAUGUUUGACUUCUUUUGGAAGUGAAAUGCUAUUUCAGUUUCUUCUGUUGCUAUGUUAUGUAAUGAGUUAUAGAAAUUAUGAUGUUUUACAACUUUGUAUAUUUAAGAUAAAAGUAAAAUUAAUUUUAAUGUUAUAUAUUCUGUGAAGGAAACAUUUUUGAUGAAAUUCCUCAAGUCAGUUCUUUUCAGGCAAAUUAUCUUCCUUGCUUUAUACUUGAUACAAAGCCUUUGUUAAUCUCUUAUUAACUUUUUCCAUUUCUCUUCGUAUAAUCUGUGUGAUAUCCAGAGACCCUUUGAAAGCUCUUUGCUCCUCCCCUCUCUGGCAUAUAUGUUUUGAGAGUAUGCACACGCCCGAGGUGGUGUCCUGCCCUUGGGCCUUUGUUCAGGGCAGAGGACUGACUAGGAGACCAGAGAGCCUGGUGGUUCCCUUUGGCAUUUUUGCCUGAUUGCUUCUUGGCACAUUGGCCACACCUAUAUUUCAGUACUUUCUCCCAUUCUGAGAUAAUAGAAAUUAUUUUGGUUUAUCUAUACCAGGUAACCUUUAUUUAUUAAAUAAUAGACUUAAUUAAUAGUGAUGUCAUUUCCUCUAGUUAGUGAUUUUUAAAUAUUCCAAAGAUAAGUUGUAUAUUUAUAAUAUUAAGAUUUUUAAAAACUCAAUUUGGAUCAAGAUAAUAUAAAAAGAUGUUAAAAUGAAUGUAACUGUAAGCCAUUAGAUUAUUUCUAAUUCAUAGGAACUAAAAUUAAUUACUUUAUUUUGCUUGAAGUAAGACAGUUCCUGUUAAUCAAAAAGAAAAGGGGAAACAAUCUGUGAAAAAACUGGUAAAGACCAUCAACUCACAGUUCAAAGAAAAAGAUAAGUUGGAUAAUUUUCAGGCCGGAAUUAAAGAGUUUCAAUUUGAA